rnacentral:rRNA from 1 species
CAACUUUUAACAACGGAUCUCUUGGUUCUCGCAUCGAUGAAGAACGUAGCAUAGUGCGAUAACUAGUGUGAAUUGCAUAUUCAGUGAAUCAUCUAGUCUNUGAACGCAUCUU